rnacentral:rRNA from 1 species
CACGUAGGGCGCAAGCGUUGUCCGGAAUUACUGGGCGUAAAGAGCUCGUAGGUGGUUUGUCGCGUUGUCCGUGAAAACUCACAGCUCAACUGUGGGCGUGCGGGCGAUACGGGCAGGCUAGAGUCCGGUAGGGGAGACUGGAAUUCCUGGUGUAGCGGUGAAAUGCGCAGAUAUCAGGAGGAACACCGGUGGCGAAGGCGGGUCUCUGGGCCGAUACUGACGCUGAGGAGCGAAAGCGUGGGGAGCGAACAGG